AGGUAUUCUCGAGUGAAUAAUA
rnacentral:miRNA from 15 species